rnacentral:rRNA from 1 species
GAUUAAGUUAUUAAGGGCGCACGGUGGAUGCCUUGGCACUAGAAGCCGAAGAAGGACGUUACUAACGACGAUAUGCUUUGGGGAGCUGUAAGUACGCUUUGAUCCAGAGAUUUCCGAAUGGGGAAACCCAGCAUGAGUUAUGUCAUGUUAUCCGCAUAUGAAUACAUAGUAUGUGAGAAGGCACACCCGGAGAACUGAAACAUCUUAGUACCCGGAGGAAGAGAAAGAAAACUCGAUUCCCUGAGUAGCGGCGAGCGAAACGGGAAGAGCCCAAACCAAUAGGCUUGCCUAUUGGGGUUGUAGGACACUCAAUACGGAGUUACAAAGGAAAUGAUUAGACGAAUCAACUGGAAAGAUGAAUCAAAGAAGGUAAAAAUCCUGUAGUCGAAAAUCAUUUCUCUCCUGAGUGGAUCCUGAGUACGGCGGAACACGUGAAAUUCCGUCGGAAUCUGGGAGGACCAUCUCCCAAGGCUAAAUACUCUCUAGUGACCGAUAGUGAACCAGUACCGUGAGGGAAAGGUGAAAAGCACCCCGGAAGGGGAGUGAAAUAGAACCUGAAACCGUGUGCUUACAAAUAGUCAGAGCCCGUUAAUGGGUGAUGGCGUGCCUUUUGUAGAAUGAACCGGCGAGUUACGAUUUGAUGCAAGGUUAAGCAGUAAAUGUGGAGCCGUAGCGAAAGCGAGUCUGAAUAGGGCGAUGAGUAUCUGGUCGUAGACCCGAAACCAAGUGAUCUACCCAUGUCCAGGUUGAAGUUCAGGUAACACUGAAUGGAGGACCGAACCGACUUACGUUGAAAAGUGAGCGGAUGAGGUGUGGGUAGCGGAGAAAUUCCAAUCGAACUUGGAGAUAGCUGGUUCUCUCCGAAAUAGCUUUAGGGCUAGCCUCAAGUGAUGAUUAUUGGAGGUAGAGCACUGUUUGGACGAGGGGCCCCUCUCGGGUUACCGAAUUCAGACAAACUCCGAAUGCCAAAUAAUUUAACUUGGGAGUCAGACUAUGGGUGAUAAGGUCCGUAGUCGAAAGGGAAACAGCCCAGACCACCAGCUAAGGUCCCAAAAUAUAUGUUAAGUGGAAAAGGAUGUGGCGUUGCCCAGACAACUAGGAUGUUGGCUUAGAAGCAGCCAUCAUUUAAAGAGUGCGUAAUAGCUCACUAGUCGAGUGACACUGCGCCGAAAAUGUACCGGGGCUAAACAUAUUACCGAAGCUGUGGAUUAUCCUAAGGAUAAUGGUAGGAGAGCGUUCUAAGGGCGUUGAAGCAUGAUCGCAAGGACAUGUGGAGCGCUUAGAAGUGAGAAUGCCGGUGUGAGUAGCGAAAGACGGGUGAGAAUCCCGUCCACCGAUUGACUAAGGUUUCCAGAGGAAGGCUCGUCCGCUCUGGGUUAGUCGGGUCCUAAGCUGAGGCCGACAGGCGUAGGCGAUGGAUAACAGGUUGUGAUUGUUUGAACGAUGGGGGGACGCAGUAGGAUAGGCGAAGCGUGCUGUUGGAGUGCACGUCCAAGCAAUAAGACUGAGUGUUAGGCAAAUCCGGCACUCGUAAGGUUGAGUUGUGAUGGGGAGUUGUCAUGUAUCCGACGAGUCGUAUCCUAAGGUGUGCGAGAGAACUCUGGUUAUGGUACUCGGCAAAAUGACCCCGUAACUUCGGGAGAAGGGGUGCUUUUUAACGGAAAGCCGCAGUGAAUAGGCCCAAGCGACUGUUUAGCAAAAACACAGCUCUCUGCUAAACCGUAAGGUGAUGUAUAGGGGCUGACGCCUGCCCGGUGCUGGAAGGUUAAGAGGAGUGGUUAGCUUCUGCGAAGCUACGAAUCGAAGCCCCAGUAAACGGCGGCCGUAACUAUAACGGUCCUAAGGUAGCGAAAUUCCUUGUCGGGUAAGUUCCGACCCGCACGAAAGGCGUAACGAUUUGGGCACUGUCUCAACGAGAGACUCGGUGAAAUCAUAGUACCUGUGAAGAUGCAGGUUACCCGCGACAGGACGGAAAGACCCCGUGGAGCUUUACUGUAGCCUGAUAUUGAAAUUUGGCACAGCUUGUACAGGAUAGGUAGGAGCCUUUGAAACGUGAGCGCUAGCUUACGUGGAGGCGCUGGUGGGAUACUACCCUGACUGUAUUGAAAUUCUAACCUACGGGUCUUAUCGACCCGGGAGACAGUGUCAGGUGGGCAGUUUGACUGGGGCGGUCGCCUCCUAAAGAGUAACGGAGGCGCUCAAAGGUUCCCUCAGAAUGGUUGGAAAUCAUUCGCAGAGUGUAAAGGCACAAGGGAGCUUGACUGCGAGACCUACAAGUCGAGCAGGGUCGAAAGACGGACUUAGUGAUCCGGUGGUUCCGCAUGGAAGGGCCAUCGCUCAACGGAUAAAAGCUACCCCGGGGAUAACAGGCUUAUCUCCCCCAAGAGUCCACAUCGACGGGGAGGUUUGGCACCUCGAUGUCGGCUCAUCGCAUCCUGGGGCUGUAGUCGGUCCCAAGGGUUGGGCUGUUCGCCCAUUAAAGCGGUACGCGAGCUGGGUUCAGAACGUCGUGAGACAGUUCGGUCCCUAUCCGUCGUGGGCGUAGGAAAUUUGAGAGGAGCUGUCCUUAGUACGAGAGGACCGGGAUGGACGCACCGCUGGUGUACCAGUUGUUCUGCCAAGGGCAUAGCUGGGUAGCUAUGUGCGGAAGGGAUAAGUGCUGAAAGCAUCUAAGCAUGAAGCCCCCCUCAAGAUGAGAUUUCCCAGCGUAAGCUAUAAGAUCCCUGAAAGAUGAUCAGGUUGAUAGGUUCGAGGUGGAAGCAUGGUGACAUGUGGAGCUGACGAAUACUAAUAGAUCGAGGACUUAACCAU